UGCCAUAAAAUCACAUGAUAAAAGUGGGAAAGGAGUAAUCCGCUGAUAGAUGGGCUCGCGUCUGAUUAGAUAGUUGGUGGGGUAACGGCCUACCAAGUCGACGAUCAGUAGCCGGACUGAGAGGUUGAACGGCCACAUUGGGACUGAGAUACGGCCCAGACCCCUACGGGAGGCAGCAGUCGGGAAUAUUGCGCAAUGGAGGAAACUCUGACGCAGUGACGCCGCGUAUAGGAAGAAGGUUUUCGGAUUGUAAACUAUUGUCGUUAGGGAAGAUACAAGACAGUACCUAAGGAGGAAGCUCCGGCUAACUACGUGCCAGCAGCCGCGGUAAUACGUAGGGAGCAAGCGUUAUCCGGAUUUAUUGGGUGUAAAGGGUGCGUAGACGGGAAAGCAAGUUAGUUGUGAAAUCCCUCGGCUUAACUGAGGAACUGCAACUAAAACUACUUUUCUUGAGUGUUGGAGAGGAAAGUGGAAUUCCUAGUGUAGCGGUGAAAUGCGUAGAUAUUAGGAGGAACACCGGUGGCGAAGGCGACUUUCUGGACAAUAACUGACGUUGAGGCACGAAAGUGUGGGGAGCAAACAGGAUUAGAUACCCUGGUAGUCCACACCGUAAACGAUGGAUACUAGGUGUAGGGAACAUUAAGUUUUCUGUGCCGUCGCAAACGCAAUAAGUAUCCCACCUGGGGAGUAC
rnacentral:rRNA from 1 species